CCGAGGCCACCGCGCGGGUCCCGGCGGGGCCGGUGGGGAUCGGGUCGGAUCCGCUCUUCCCAUUUCUUCAAUUAUUUAUGGAAUUAUUUAUGGAAUUACGGGCAUCGCCCGACCCGCCAGAACUCGGGAAAAUCCCUCUCUGCCUGCUGGGGGGGCGGUUCAGGAAUAUCCCGGUUUAGAAUUAUCCCGGUUCAGGAAUAUUCCAGUUCAGAAUUAUCCCGAUUCAGAAUUAUCCCGGUUCAGGAAUAUCCCGGUUCAGAAUUAUCCCGGUUCAGGAAUAUCCCUCUUAAGGAAUAUCCCGGUUCAGGAACAUCCCGGUUCAGAAUUAUCCAGGUUCAGAAUUAUCCCGGUUCAGGAAUAUCCCGGUUCAGGAAUAUCCCGGUUCAGAAUUAUCCCGGUUCAGAAUUAUCCCGGUUCAGGAAUAUCCCGGUUCAGGAACAUCCCAGUUCAGGAAUAUCCCAGUUCAGAAUUAUCCCGGUUCAGAAUUAUCCCGGUUCAGAAUUAUCCCGGUUCAGGAAUAUCCCAGUUCAGAAUUAUCCCAGUUCAGGAACAUCCCGGUUCAGAAUUAUCCAGGUUCAGAAUUAUCCCGGUUCAGGAAUAUCCCGGUUCAGAAACAUCCCGGUUCAGGAAUAUCCCGGAUCAGGAACAUCCCUCUUAAGGAAUAUCCCAGUUCAGGAAUAUCCCAGUUCAGAAUUAUCCCGGUUCAGAAUUAUCCCGGUUCAGGAAUAUCCCGGUUCAGAAUUAUCCCGGUUCAGGAAUAUCCCGGAUCAGGAACAUCCCAGUUCAGGAACAUCCCAGUUCAGAAUUAUCCCGGUUCAGAAUUAUCCCGGUUCAGGAACAUCCCGGUUCAGAAUUAUCCCGGUUCAGAAUUAUCCCGGUUCAGGAACAUCCCAGUUCAGGAAUAUCCCAGUUCAGAAUUAUCCCGGUUCAGAAUUAUCCCGGUUCAGAAUUAUCCCGGUUCAGGAACAUCCCAGUUCAGAAUUAUCCCGGUUCAGAAUUAUCCCGGUUCAGAAUUAUCCCGGUUCAGGAACAUCCCGGUUCAGAAUUAUCCCGGUUCAGAAUUAUCCCGGUUCAGAAUUAUCCCGGUUCAGGAACAUCCCGGUUCAGAAUUAUCCCGGUUCAGAAUUAUCCCGGUUCAGAAUUAUCCCGGUUCAGGAAUAUCCCGGUUCAGGAAUAUCCCGGUUUGAGCGCGCUCUUCCCUGUCCCAGGCCCUGACGGAUUUCGGGAAGAGGGACAAAACCCCCAGCCCGAGCUGUCCCCCACGGCCGUCAGGAGGAGGAUUUAAGAUUGAAAUCCAACUUUUUUAUCCUUUUCCCUCUAAACGCCUCCUGCUCGCCCCCCGUCCUGCUGGGAGCACCCCAAAUUCCCCUUCCUGAGAAGCGGCCACCCAAAUAUUCCCAAAGGCCGGCGCUGACGGACGGGAGCCUCUGCUAUAAUCGUAUUUUAAUAAAAAUACGGCUUUGUCCGCCCCGAGCGGGGCGCGGGGGAGCCGUAAAUGAGACUUGAAAAUUCAGGAGCCGCUUCCCGCGGCCGAUCCUUCAUCCCGCGAGUG
ensembl:lncRNA